UGCGAAUGAGUACAUAUCACUAAUCACUAGUUACUACUCACUACUCGUAGUAGAAAAAAUAAAAAUUAAAGACUUAAGAAAUGCACUAAUUUUAUAAAAAUAUUAGUCCUUGUAAUGUAUAGUUAUACUCCGUAUUAAAACAACAUAAUUAGAGGCACGUUAAUUUUACAAAAAAUCCAAGUCCCAAAUUCCCUCCCCCACUUCUCAGUUCUCACUAAUCAUCUACCAUGUAUAACCGCUACACUGAUUUCCCCUCCAUCGCCACUGACUCCGCGCCCAUGCUGCCUCCAUUGAAGAUCGGCGACUUCCCUUCUCCAUCGCUGUAGAAUUCCACUUAAGUACCACUUUUGGAACAGCUAGAUUCAAGAACCUAUUAGAAACUUUUUGGCGAGCUGAAGCUGAUAGCCUAAAGUCAAUCUUAUUUGGGCUCCUCAAGACUAGCUUUGGUACGUAGUUGAGCAGCAUAAAUAAGUUGAGUAUUUGGCUGCAUAAAUACACAACCGCAUAACAAUUGGCUUCUAAGUCUUCUUGCUGCUGGUUGCUGUUGGUGCUCGUCAUUACUGGUGUUGCCGCUCGUUGUUUCUGUUGCUGCUAUGCUCAGUUGCUAGUUGCUUGUUACCUUGUUGCUAUUCUAAUGUGUAUUAACUUUUUUUUUUUGGUACACAUGCUACUAAUUAUAUUACUGUUGUGAUGUAAACAUUACAGUCAUUUAAUAAAUUAAAUUUUAAUAUUUUAUUUGCAUAUACUAGUGU